CAUGCAGUAGCUCAGUGGUAGAGCUCCCGCUUCGUGUGCAGGAAGACCUGGGAUCAAUUCCCGGCUACUUAC
rnacentral:tRNA from 1 species